CCCCCCCCCCCCCGCGCCUUAGCCUCCGGGGACCCGCGCUCCGAGCAAUUGUCGCUCGGGACAGUAAACACAGCUCAGUUGCCUCAACUUUCUCCGCACAUAAAAGUUCCUGGCGUGCGGGGAAAUUUGAAUAUUUGAUCAGCCCCUUUGAGUGACCCUCAUUAGCUUGGCGCCCUGCUAAGGCUCCGGCAUUGCAAGAAAGCUGCUGGGCCCGGCAUUUGUAUGCCUUGUUAGCGCUGCUUAAUGAAGCUGCCCCGACCGCUCAAAGGCGGCCUCCGGGGCCGGCGCUGCGCACCUCUCGGCACCCCACUCUGCCUAAUGAGCCCCACCGCCCGCUGAAGGCCUCCUCGCCCCCCACAUCCUCAAACAAGAGAAGUUUGGCUCAGUCUUGGGCCACCGCACCUCCCACUGCCAGGCCCAGGAGAGUGGGCCCAAGCUGGGUCCCAGCUGGCUGUAGUGAUCCAGCCGGAAGAGGGAGAGAGGUGGGAGACUUUGGGGUUGUGAGUCUUUUGGUUUGGGGAGGAGGGUUGUGGCCUCAGGUUCCAGUCCAGGGAGUGCACUGCCACCCUCUCCCAAGAGGCCAAUUUCCAUCCAUUUACCCGGGUUCCUUUAAGAUGCACUGGACUAAUGUUGGGGUGGCAGAGGGCAGAUGUCCAGGGGAGGGUCCGUUUUCCACCCUCCUCCCACACCACGUUCCUUUGGGCUCCACUGCCCGGGAGGCUGCCUAUGUCUUUGCAGGGAUCUCUUUAGGAGAGCCAGAACGGAUGUGCUGGGGAGUGAAUUUGAGCAGGGGUGGGCGCGCUCCUCUUCAAACCAUCAUUGCCCCUCCACCACAGACCCCAAACAAUCAAACACAGUCGGCACUGGCAACUACAGCACUACAGCCUACCUUGAACCAGCCCCCCUUCCCCCAGAGAACCAUGCCUUCUCUGGUCUCUCUUUACUCAUGCUUCCAGUCCUUAGGAAGCCUAAAGAAAGCACUUGAAGCAGGGCCCCCCUGUACAGGACCACCUUGCUGCUAGGGCAGGAUGGGACGAAAACAAGCCCGAAGAGGAGGAAGAAAGGGGGUACUUUGGAAGGAAGGGCGACCAAAGCCACCAUCUACUUCCCCUUGCCUCAGUGGGGCAAGUGACAAGCCAGCGACUCUAAGGAGGCCCAGGACAAGUUGUGUUUCAGUCCUCUGAAAAAGGGGUAGACUCCCUCUCUGCCCUUCCCAUGCCCUUUUGCCUGGACGGUUGUCACUAAAGGUCCCUUCUUGCGCACCCAGUUCUUGGACUUUGGAGGGCUUGGGGAAGAGGCUUCUCGCAGACGCACGUUCUUGGGACUUCUAGAGGUGCCCCCCACCACAUGCCCACAAUCCCUCAGAUACAUAGCAGGCUAAGCAGGUUGGUAGCCUCAGGACCCUAUCCCAGGGUGGCCACCUCUAGGAAUGAGUGGCACCCAGCCAGUCCUCACCCUCUGCCGACAGGCCAGCAAGGCCCUGGGAUAGCAGAGCCUCUAAGUCCAUCUGGUCUGCUCCUCUUUCUUUCCCCCAGCUCAGCUGGCAUGCCCCGCCCCAUUUCCCAUCCCACGACCCCCUAAUUUAAGCCCAAACUGACGAUCUUUAGGGAUCAUCUCUGCACUGGGCAAGAUGGUGCCCGGGCCUUGAUCCAUCCAAAGGGCAAAGCUCCGGAACUGGCCGACCCCAAAUGGAUUCCCAACAGGUGGCCAGGUAACCCACGCACGCGGACCUUGCAAGUGCUGGGUCGCGAGCCUCCGCGCCCAAGCCGAGCCGCGAGCAGAGCCACCCUCCUACUUCCCCAGCUCCCCGGCUGUCAAGAGCCCUGCCGCCUGGCCACCGGUGCCCGGAGAAGGACGGGGGGAGCUGGGAGAGCCCCCAGGGCUGGGGCUCUGGGAGGAUCUUACCUGCGGAAAGGUAAGGGAAGCCGGGAGCAGGAAGCAGCGGCGGAUAAAUAUUCAUUAGGAAGUGUAAGUGUCUCCUUUUAAACCGCGCGGCGCGCGCUCUCGCUCCUCUCUCUCUUUCCCUCCCUCCCUCUGUCCUCUUCUGAGGCUCUCUCCCCCUCUCACUCAGCCUCCCCCCCCUUUCCUGCGAAAUGCCGAGUGGAUCCCCGUCUAGCUAACCUGUUGGGAAGCCUGAGCCCUGGGCAGCGCCUCCACAGCUGUUUGCCUUCGCUCUUGGGGAGCGCGUUCCCCAUCCACCCUCCCUUCUCUCGCCCAGCCCCUCACCCCUCCUAAAUUACUACAUCAUUAGCUUUAUUUUCCGGCGUGGAGGGGGGGGGGGUGGUAACGGCACAGCCCGAUGCACCUCCUCAAAGCAGGGCGAAAAGCCGGCGCUGAGUCUGCCCCACUGCCACAUCCCCACCCCACAUCCCCACCCAGUCAUCUUCCCCCCCCUCCCCCCUCCUGCCAUCUCCACCUCCAUCCUGAAUCAGCCUAACUCCCCAUCCCUCCUUCCCUUGCCGCCAACAAUCCGAUCCGCGGCUGGGUCAGCAAUGAGAUGCCAGGUCUGCAGGUUCAACGCGCGCCUUGAUUGGAACUUCACCCUGCAUUGGGUGCGGGGGAAGCUCUCUGAGUCCCCCUUUCCCACGUAGGUUUUAUAGCUUCACCCUGGGCACCUGGGCAUCUUAGGUCUUAUGAUCAAAACACGGGGCGCACUCUCAGGCCCUCGCCUCGCCAGGCCUCAGGGUCCCCGGGCCACAGCCUUAUGGCCGGACUUGGAAGGCUGCGUGGAAGGCGGGGGAGAGGUGGCCUCACUUUAUGCGAUUGCGCAGUAGAGACAGACCUACCGACUGACUGACUGACAAUGGCCUUUUACAACAAACUGACCUGAAGUUCGACGCAAGUCCGCAUCUUUCUCCCUCACGCUCAUGAGAAAACACAUCCACAGGAUUCCAGGACCGCACACGUCCCCGCAGGAUCCCUCUGAGCAUCGCUUGCAGCAGCAGGCGAGCAAGCACUCACACACCCCAUCCCCACCCCCGCACUCCCCAGGCCAACCCUCCAGCGGCCCCGGAGACUAGAAGGCGGGCAGGCUGGCAAAGCGGCUCCCAGCAGAGGUAUACAACGCAAGACUGCUACCGGACGACCUUGGCCACCUUUCUCCCCACUCCAGCCCCCUAGACCCACUCCAAGGGCUCUAAGAGACGGCGUGGUCCCAGGUGCUUGGGGGUGGCUGGACCCUGAGCUCCCGCUGCCUGCUGAGCUCAGAGCUCCGAGGUGGGGGCGGGAGGAGGGGCCGAGGGGGCGGGCCCAGACAAGUUCCCAGUUACAAAUACGGCUGCUCUCACGAGGCCUAGGAGGAGAGCUUCGCCCCCAAAGACUCGUAACGCUGGCCGAGAGGCACCGUCACGUCCACUCUUGGGUCCUGCACCUUCCCCAGUAUCCUGGGGCUCUUUCGGCCAUUUGGUGGCCCGGGGAUGGAGCGGGGUCUCGAGCCUCUAGGAGACCUAGAGAACCCGCUUUCCCCCCCGGCCCCCCCCCCCCACCAUUUGGCCCCGCCAAAAUCCACCAAGACCAGUCCCAGCGGCUGUUUCGACCCUUCCAGAAGGGAGUGGGAGGCAGGAUCCUUGGAGGGUCUGCCUCUUCUUGGAAAGUUGAGAAGUUGGGCACAUGAAGAUGUAAGAGAGGCCUAGAGGGUCCCGGGGCUAGGAAACCCUAUUAACCUCUCAUUCCACCCUAAGGCCCAAGUUUGCACUUGCACACCUUCCUCCCCAAGCAGACCCAGUCGGUCGCACGUCAGGCUUGAGCAGAGUCACCUGACAGUAAGUACAUGGAACGUACGUGCAAUUGUAACCGAGUACACGCGGUGGAAUUAGAGGAACACUAAAAACAGAAUUUGAGGAAAAAAAAGAAACGUCCACAGACAUUUCCAGUGCGUGGUCUGGUUGUCCAGAUGCAGACAAAAGCCACAAUGCCCGCGCGGAGUGACCCCGGCCACAGCGGGAGAGUGGACCGAGUGAGGAUGCAGGCUGUGAAGCCAAGGGCUUCCUGCUAGAGGGAUGUUGGUUCCCGAGGGACAAACUUUGUUGAGCCGACUGCGUGAAAGGUUUCAGGUCAAGUCCAGGAGACUACCUACAAAGAGCACCUCCUCCACCCCAAAGCUGGCCCUUUCCCCUUGCUCUGGGUCAGAGACACCCAGAAGAGGGCAAUCCAGGAAAGAUCUGUCUGGAUCAGCAUCAUUUAUUUGUUGUUAUAUUAUUGGUUUGGGAGAUUGCAUUCUGAAGGAGGAUGAGGUGAAGAGCAGAGGCGCACUUCAAUGCCAGGAGAUUCCUAAUACCUAAUGGGAACUUUGGGCUCUAAUCAGGUUGGAGAACCCGGAGGGUCCCUUCCACUCCUCUUAUGCUAAAUUUAGUCUUUAAAAAAGAACCUUAGCUCCUCUCCACGUCUUCCUGCCUUUUCCCUUCCAUCCCAGUCCCCUUUGUGUAAAAUAAGUCUGCAAAAGAGCACUCCAAAGAAAAUUGAAUUAUCUGGUUUACUAGACUACGUUUCUUUGUGAGGUAUUGAGAAGUUCUCCCUCACCUACUCCCCCGUCCCAGGAGAAAGUCCUCGUCCAGGCCAUUGGGGGCGGGGGAUUGAAGGGGAGGGAUUGAUUCCCAGAGUAGCUUUCCUGGAAAAGCCCAAGCAAGUGCACAGCCUUGUUUUUGGUUUCAGCUCUGUUUGCCUGCCCCAUCCUGGUGAACCUUCCAGACAGUAGCCAUCACGGUUUCCCUGCAGAAGAGGCAGGCACACUGGAUGCAAUGAUGCCCUCCCCUCCCCAACUGUCUCUCUGAAAGUAGAGGGUAAGUUUGGGAAGAUUCUUUCAGACAAAACAAGAGAAAAAAAAAGAGGACGCUCUGGGCCAGCAAGUCGGAUGACCACCCUCCAAGGGGGCAGAGGAAGGUCCGGCUCCUGAAGAAGAGAUGAACCAUCUGGAAAACACUGCAGGAGGACACUUUUAAACAAAUGUGGUUACCCUAGAAAUGGAGGGGGGCUGGGAGUAUGAGUAGGGAAGGAUUUCUUCCCUUUGGGGGACAAACACUGUGUCCUUUCAAUUUUUCCCAAAGAUAUAUUUAAUUCCUGGAAAUUGUAGUGUUUGUUCUUUCAGAUGUUCUAAACAAUAAAGAGUGAAAAUCA